CGGCGACGGCUUUGGGACGGCUCGCGCGGCGGUAGCCGGCGGACGGGGUCGUGCGGUGGCGGUGCUGGAGGGAGGGAGUCACGCCGCGGCGGAUCGGGGACGGAGGCAAUCUUUGUUUUUUCUACCACUUGACACCCUCAUGAAGGGAACGAGAAAGACGAUGUAGUUCCAGCUUUUUUCGGGAAGUAGACGUAGGUAGACGGCCUCCUUGUGACGAAACUGUAGUCCUUGCGAAAGGAGGUGAUCUCGGUGACGCCGGGGGCCGUCGGGUACCACCUCCUCAAGCAGCGCAGGUAGUCAGGUUGGGGUACCGAAGUCCCGCAGGCUCAAAGCAGCGCCGGUAGUCAAGCCUGUGGACGCAGUGACGCACACAACGUUGGUACCGGUAAACACAGUGACGCACGAGGCAGUGGCCGGAGGACGCGUGGCACUGGGGACGGUGUGAGGAAGGAGAGUGACUUCGGCGAGCACGGGAGGGUCCGAACUAUAGGACGGCGUCGCUACUCGAGGACAUGUAGCGGCUUCAAGGUAUGGACGAGUUGCCGUGGUCGUGCUCCUACGUCGUCGAUCCGACUUGGGGUCAAGCACGGAGUUCCAGUUCAUGCGCCUGCGGACGCUCCUCCAAGAGGCCACGCGGUUCAUAACGGCCGUCGCUACGGACGAAUGCAGAAGGAGCAUACUAAGCGGUUCCGGCGCAGGAGGAGACUCUAUUCUUCUCGCUGUUCCUCCAUUUUCCUUGUGGUCUAAAAAUGUUUAAGACGUCUACAUCAUGCAUAAACGGUAAAACGGUUUCGUCACUCAGAUACACGACUACAAAGAGAACAGAAGAGAACCUACAUAAACAGCUACCUCUCGUGCCAGAAAAAAAGCACCUCGACCGCGACGACGUCAUGCCGGAUCAGGUCAGAUUCCGGAGGUACCAACGACGACGACAAAGGCGUUGGUCCGAUGGGGCUUCUUCUGGGGAUACACUUAACUGUUAGAUUUAAUAUGUGUUCAUCGUUACCCCGACUGACUCUCACUAGGGACUUGGUAAAGUAAUUUCCGGUACCAAAGGUUAUUACGAUUACGAUGAUCUUUCCUUGAUCUCCGGUACUUCGGAGAAUCGAAGAAGUUAAUCGUACAAACCGGUCAGGACUUCGCGGAGGAGUUCGAGAAGCUGCUAUUGGCCCGCGGGUAGUUCCUGUUCUCGAUGUUGUAGGAACAACUGUGGUGACCUACCGUUUUCGUUACUUGGUUAUGGAUGGUGAUGGCCAGUAAUGUUACGGCGGGAACAUGUUCCAAGUUUCUGUAAUAUGACUCUUCCUUUCCUCUACGAUGCCAGUCGUCGAAGGAGCACGGUAGCGCCAUACCAGAGCUAGGUCCUCCACGAUCGAGUACGACCGACCUUGAUCCUACGUUUUCCCAACUGCCUAGGUACGGCGUGUUCGUGACGCGGUACGAGUCAGGUUGGGGCACCGAAGUCCCACCGGCUCAAGCAGCGCUGGUAGUCAAGUCUCUGGACGCAGUGAUGGGCACAGCGAUGGUACCGGUGGACGUAGUGACGCACGAGGCAGUUGUCGGAGGACGUGUCCCUUUUCGUUGUCCUCAUCUCCACAGACUCUACGAGACAAGAUCGCUCCACCGAUUAAUACAAACAAUCAAACAUUAUGAAACCGACGUCACAUGAAUACAUAGAAAAAGACCGGCCUCGUGCUGGUCUCGAAUACAGUCAUGGUCGAAACUAACACUACCAUGAUGUUUGAUAUAUUUUUGUGGUCGUUAGGUAAAAAUGAGCAUGAAUGGAAAAUAUGUUAAGUGUACCUAACACGGGGAUAAUGGUUGACACUAUGUUUUUACGUAACACGAGUGGUAAAAUAAAGCAGUCAAACAUUAUGAAAUUUCUCUCCUC
rnacentral:rRNA from 1 species